AAUAAGAAAAAGGGGAGUCUGUGCGACAGGCUGAGAGGAAACUAAAGUUUCGACCCAUAACCUGAUUCAGAUCAUGCUGACGUAGGGAAAUAUUCGAGGAUAGCACU
rnacentral:ncRNA from 2 species